GAUGAACGCUGGCGGCGUGCUUAGCACAUGCAAGUCGAGCGAAGCACUUGGAACCGAUCCUUCGGGUGAAGUUCCAUUUGACUGAGCGGCGGACGGGUGAGUAACGCGUGGGUAACCUGCCUCAUACAGGGGAAUAACAGUUUGAAAAGACUGCUAAUGCCGCAUAAGCGCACAGGGCCGCAUGGCCCGGUGUGAAAAACUCCGGUGGUAUGAGAUGGACCCGCGUCUGAUUAGCUAGUUGGUGAGGUAACGGCCCACCAAGGCGACGAUCAGUAGCCGACCUGGGAGGGUGAACGGCCACAAUGGGACUGAGACACGGCCCAAACUCCUACGGGAGGCAGCAGUGGGGAAUAUUGCACAAUGGGGGAAACCCUGAUGCAGCGACGCCGCGUGGAUGAAGAAGUAUUUCGGUAUGUAAAGUCCUAUCAGCAGGGAAGAAAAUGGCAGUACCUGACUAAGAAGCCCCGGCUAACUACGUGCCAGCCGCCGCGGUAA
rnacentral:rRNA from 1 species